GGCUGGAGUCCCAACAAGGAAGGCCCUGCCCAGAGUCCCUGGCUUCCAGGGAGCAGAGAGCGGCUGAUGGAGUCCAGAAACCUACUUUCUAGGACUCUGCUCUACAAAAUACCAGCACAAAAACGCAAAGAUAUACCCAAGAGCACGUUCACCGCAAGAUUUCUUGUCUUGGUAAAAAUGGGAAGCAACCUCAAAAAACAUACAGGAGGCUGCCAAAGGUAUCUAGAUCAACCUGGAAAGCAGUCCAUGAUACAUUAUUACGUGAAAAAGCAAGGAGCAGAAUUGAACAUACAGUGUGAUCUCAUUCUAUAGUACUACAUAUGCCUUGUAUUAUAUAACUGAGUAUAGUGUAUGAACCAAUUCUAUACACACAAACGUUUUGAAGCAUAGAAAAUAAAAUCCUGUAGGAGUACACAGAAAAUCGUUAACAGCAGUUACCUCUAGGGUGGAAAAAUAUAUUUUUAAUUUUUCUCUUAUACACGUCUGUACUGCACUGUUUGAAUUUCUUAAAAUUAGCACGUAUUAGAUCUGAUUUAACACCCCUCCUCCCCCCCGCAAUAAACAAGAAAGGAACUGGACAGGGUCAAAUGGUCCACCUUCUCCCAGGAGCAACCAGAAAAAGUGAGCCUAACAUGACUAGGUCCAUGUUGCAGGGCACAGCCCCAGAAACAAUCCAAAUGAGUGAAGUGAGGGAGCAGGAACACAGAGGGCAGGGGACAGACCAUCCUGUCUCCCUGGGGGCCAGGAAUCCUACCAGUCUGCACCCGCAUCCUCCAGCGCCUGGCUGAGGCCUCGCACAGCACUCCUCUGUAAAGAGGGCACAGGAACGCUGGCUCUUCAGGAGAUGGAGCAUGUGACCAGCGACCACUCUACAAGCCUGGACGUUUUGAAAUGUGCUGUUUCUUCAUUGGAGGAUACCCACUAAAGGAGCCCUUCCUAAUAAUUAACUCAGUAGGAUCAAUAAUGCUCACCAUUUCUCAUGCUUUCCAUGUGCUACGUACAUUACAUGUAUUAUCUCAUUGUAUGCCAAUCAGGAUCCUAUAAAGCAG
ensembl:lncRNA